GGGGUUGUGGCUCAGUGGUAGAGCGCUUGCCUUGUGUAUGUGAGGCACUGGGUUCAAUUCCCCUCAGCACCA
rnacentral:tRNA from 1 species